GGUAAACUAUGUGAGUUGAACGCACACAUCACAAAGAAUUUUCUGAGAAUGAUUCUGUCUGGUUUUUAUUUGAAGAUAUUUCCCUUUCUACUGUUGGCAUCAAAUGGCUAGAAAUCUCCACUUGGAAAUUCCGCAAAAAGAGUGUUUCAAAUCUGCUCUGUCUAAAGGGACGUUCCACUCUGUGAGUUGAAUGCACACAACACAAAGAAUUUACUGAGAAUUCUUCCGUCUAGCAUUCAAUGAAGAAAUCCCGUUUCCAACGAAGGCCUCAAACAGGUCCAUAUAUCCAAUUGCAGACUUUACAAACAGUGUGUUUCCAAACUCCUCUAUGAAAAGAAAGGUUAAACUCUGUGAGUUGAACGCACACAUCACAAAGCACUUUCUGAGAAUGAUUCUGUCUAGUUUUUAUUUGCAGAUAUUUCCUUUUCUAUUGUUGGCAACAAAUCGCUUGAAAUCUCCACUUGCAAAUUCCACAAAAAGAGUGUUUCAAAUCUGCUCUGUGUAAAGGGACGUUCCAGUUUGUGAGUUUAAUACACACAACACAAAGAAGUUACUGAGAAUUCUUGUGUCUAGCAUGAAAUGAAGAAAUCCCGUUUCCAACGAAGGCCUCAAACAGGUCCAUAUUUCCACUUGCAGACUUUACAAACAGUGUGUUUCCAAACUCCUCUAUGAAAAGAAAGGUUAAACUCUGUGAGUUGAACGCACACAUCACAAAGCACUUUCUGAGAAUGAUUCUGUCUGGUUAUUAUACGAAGAUAUUUCCUUUUCUGCAAUUGUCCUCAAAUCGCUUGAAAUCUCCACCUGAAAAUGCCACAGCAAGAGUGUUUCAAAUCUGCUCUCUCUAAAGCAAGGUUCAACUCUGUGAGUUGAAUACACACAACACAAAAAAGUUCCUGAGAACUCUUCUUAGUCUAGCAUGAAAGGAAGAAACCCCGUUUGCAACGAAGCCCUCAAAGAGGUCCAAAUAUCCACUUGCAGACAUAACAAGCAGAGUGUUUCUAAACUGCUCUAAGAAAAGAAAGGUUAAACUCUGUGAGUUGAAGGCACACAUCACAAAGUAGUUUCUGAGAAUGAUUCUGUCUAGUUUUUAUUUGAAGAUAUUUCCUUUUCUACUGUUGGCAUCAAAUCGCUUGAAAUCUCCACUUGCAAAUUCCACAAAAAGAGUGUUUCAAAUCUGCUCUGUGUAAAGGGACGUUCCACUCUGUGAGUUGAAUACACACAGCACAAAGAAGUUACUGAGAAUUCUUCUGUCUAGCAUGAAAUGAAGAAAUCCCGUUUCCAACGAAGGCCUCAAACAGGUCCAUAUAUCCAAUUGCAGACUUUACAAACAGUGUGUUUCCAAACUCCUCUAUGAAAAGAAAGGAUAAACUCUGUGAGUUGAACGCACACAUCACAAAGCACUUUCUGAGAAUGAUUCUGUCUUGUUUUUAUUUACAGAUAUUUCCUUUUCUACUGUUGGCAUCAAAUCGCUUGAAAUCUCCACUUGCAAGUUCCACAAAAAGAGUGUUUCAAAUCUGCUCUGUGUAAAGGGACGUUCCAGUCUGUGAGUUGAAUACACACAACACAAAGAAGUUACUGAGAAUUCUUCUGUCUAGCAUGAAAUGAAGAAAUCCCGUUUCCAACGAAAGCCUCCAAGCGGUCCAUAUAUCCACUUGCAGACAUUACCAACAGAGUGUUUCCAAACUGCUCUAUGAAAAGAAAGGUUAAACUAUGUGAGUUGAAAGCACACAACACAUAGAAUUUACUGAGAAUUCUUCCGUCUAGCAUUAUAUGUUAAAAUCCCGUUUCCACCGAAGGUCUCAAACAGGUCCAUAUAUCCACUUGCAGACUUUACAAACAGUGUGUUUCCAAACUCCUCUAUGAAAAGAAAGGUUAAACUCUGUGAGUUGAACGCACACAUCACAAAGCACUUUCUGAGAAUGAUUCUGUCUUGUUUUUAUUUGCAGAUAUUUCCUUUUCUACUGUUGGCAUCAAAUCGCUUGAAAUCUCCACUUGCAAAUUCCACAAAAAGAGUGUUUCAAAUCUGCU
rnacentral:lncRNA from 10 species